AUAUAACCAAACAUUACCCAAAAAAAGUUUUGUUUUUAUUUUUUAGAAUAUAAAAUAAUUAUUGUUUAUCAAUAUUUUGUGCUUUAUUUAUUAUUUAAUAAUGGUUAAAGUGUGUGUGGUGCGAAGUUGAUUGAAUAGCUGAUGGAAAAAUAAAGAACAAAGGCAAAGCCUGUAAAAUACAUAAUUAUAAUUCAGUAUUGUAUUAUUUGUAUUAUAUGUAAAAAUUAGAGUCAAUCAAAAGUGUAGUAAACAUUUUUCGUAAGAUUAUUGACAUACAUGUUACAAAGUAUAUUUUUACAAUCCUUAUAAAGUUACAACCUGAAUAAAAUUUAUUUUUAAUGAUUUUAAAGUUUGACAGACAUGCACAAAUUGUUGGCAUUUUUUUAAACAAAUAAAAGUAGGAAAUAAAUAAAGUUCUAGGUACUUUCAAGAAAUAUAGUUAACUGUAAGUGCUGUAUUUUAAUAAUCUAUCAAAAAUCAAAAUCAUCAGGAUAAUAUUACGUAUUGAUUUUCAAACAAGAAUUAGAUUACAGCGAUGGUCAAAAGCAUUUAGAUAUUGCUUUGAAAUCUACAGAUAAGGCAUGGCAGUUUCGUUUUAAAGAACAAGAUGUUAAAGUUUAUGAUAAAAUUGUCAUCAGAAAUACUGUCCACUUGCAGUAUUUACAUAGGAAAAUGUUGGAGGAUGAAGCUCUACCUACUGCCUCAGGUUAAUUUAAAUUCUGAGUUGCAACAACAGCAACAAGCAAGAAGGGCACCAUUAAAUGAAUAUUAUACUCAUAAGUAUUAUUAUACAAAGAAAGAGUAAUGUUAUACACAUAAAUAUUAACAUUUUGUAGAGCAACAACAGAAUAAAAAACCAAAAUAUGAACACCAGCAACUAAAACAGGAACCAUUAAAUGAAUAUUAUAUAUAGCAAUAACAGCAUCAAAUAAUGGAAAUAAUGGACCUUAUUGCACAAAUCAAAAACAAAAUUUCAGCAUUACUACUUUAUUGGUUAUAUCAAUAAUAGAAAUUGAGUUUAUCAGUCUAGAUCCUACAAGCAAGCAGAUCUAUCACAUAAUUUUAAAUGAAGAUUUAUCUAUUAUAGUAAUUUAUUCUAAUAACGAAAAAAAAACUUUGGAU